rnacentral:sRNA from 1 species
UGGGGGCUGUCCCUGACAAUGGUGAGCAUGCUCAUUGCGGAAUGAGAAGCCUAAAGUUGUUACCAUGGCCACCCACCUUAGCGAACCCGGGUUUACGGAUCAUCGAGCACCACAGAAUUUUU